rnacentral:rRNA from 1 species
UACGUAGGGUGCAAGCGUUAAUCGGAAUUACUGGGCGUAAAGCGUGCGCAGGCGGUUGUGCAAGACAGAUGUGAAAUCCCCGGGCUCAACCUGGGAACUGCAUUUGUGACUGCACGGCUGGAGUGCGGCAGAGGGGGAUGGAAUUCCGCGUGUAGCAGUGAAAUGCGUAGAUAUGCGGAGGAACACCGAUAGCGAAGGCAGCUUGCUGAACCAUUAUUGACGCUGAGGCACGAAAGCGUGGGGAGCAAACAGG